rnacentral:snRNA from 1 species
AUCGCUUCUCGGCCUUUUGGCUAAGAUCAAGUGUAGUAUCUGUUCUUAUCAGUUUAAUAUCUGAUACGUCCUCUAUCCGAGGACAAUAUAUUAAAUGGAUUUUUGGAGCAGGUUCCCCCCGCACCUGGCACACCCAGAUCAGCACCAGCAACCUGUACCUGCC